AGUCUCGAUCUUCCCCUGUGAAGCUGUCAGCGACCAUCAGAGGGUACGCCGGGGUGGCGCGGGGACGAUGCCAGGAGCCUUGGAGUGCAGAAGGCUUCGACUCCCCGCACCCACAGAGUUGCGUAGGGAACCACGGGCAACCGACUCUUCCUUGUCAGCCCCUCCCUAGCUUCUGCGGCUUCACACCUCCAUUCCGCGCCGGGCAGAGUCUGGCGGCUCCUGGAGCACGGAAGGCCCACAAGCGUACCCGUGGGGCCGCGGCCAAGGCUGGACUUUGAGCCCAGGACCCCAGGACCGCCCUUAGAAGGCUGCGCCGGCCCGCGAGAGGUCUGGGAUCUGGACAGCGCGGGGGCUGGCUCACAGGGACUGGUGAAGGAAACUGCCGGGACCCCUGCCACAGCCAUGGCUCCCCGCAAAGACGACCUCGAGCAGGCACUGCGGGCAGUUUGUACUAGCGCCUAGAACCCUGACACCGGGAAUUAGUCUCUUGGAAGAGCUAGCGAUUGGAGGCUCAGGAGUUAGGCUGUUUCCUUGUUAACCAACAAAAUCAGGUGAAACCAACGAAGUCAGGAAGCCUAAAGACAUAUAUGUACAGAUAUCUAACCCUUUACGCUAAUUAUUUAGAUUUUUAAUAAAUCUAUCUUAAUGUUUAGGUAUGAAGACGGGAGGAACUGUGGAAUUUUAGUCAAGUUACAGGGAAGAAACGCUUUCUAAAAAAAGAAAAACAUUGCUCACAUGUGACCUCACAGUCUUAUUUAACCCAUGGAACCAAAAUAUAUCAGAGUUUGUAUCAAACUAAUCUUAUAAAUUUUCAGCAACCCCAUCCAUUCACUCACUCCCCCUCCAGGAUGAGGAAGCUCGUACAAUGGGAUGUAAUCCUCAGAGAAAUUUAGGAAAUAACUUGUAUAUGGUUGGAAGGCUGGAUAAAAAUACUUUGGGCAGGCGUGGUAGCUCACGUCUGUAAUCGCAACACUGCAAGGCCGAGGCAGGCAGAUCGCUUUAGCUCUGUAGUUCGAAACCAGCUUGGGCAACAGUAAGACCCUGUCUCUACAAAAAAAAAAAAAAAAAAAAAAUUUUAAUUAGCCAGGUGUGGCCGGGCGCUGUGGCUCACGCCUGUUAUCCCAGCACUUUGGGAGGCCGAGGCGAGUGGAUCACCUGAGGUCACGAGUUCAAGACCAGCCUGACCAGCAUGGUGAAACCCCGUCUCCAAAAAAUUAGCCGGCGUGGUGGCGGCGAAUGCCUGUAAUCCCAACUACCUGGGAGGCUGGGACAGGAGAAUUGCUUGAACCCAGGAGGCAGAGGUUGCAGUGAGCCGAGAUUGUGCCAUUGCACUCCAGCCCGGGCAACAAGAGCGAGACACCGUCUCAAAAACAAACAAAAAUUAGCCAGGUGUGGUCACGGCGCACACCUGUGGUCCCACUCGGGUGGCUGAGGUGGGAGGGUAGCUUGAGUGUGGGAAGUCAACGCUGCAGUGAGUGCCACUUGUACUUCAGCCUGGGCAACAGAGGGGGGCCCUAUCUCAAAAAACAAAUACUUUUUGAGAAUUUCAUUUAAUUAGGUAUACAAAUUAAAUUUUAUUUUCUUUAAGUGGCUACCAACUCCCACUGAUUUGCAGCUAGAGUUUAUGCUCUAAAUAAGGGUCUGAAGAU
rnacentral:lncRNA from 1 species